rnacentral:misc_RNA from 1 species
GAUGAAGAACGCAGCGAAAUGCGAUAAGUAAUGUGAAUUGCAGAAUUCAGUGAAUCAUCGAAUCUUUGAACGCACCUUGCGCCCUUUGGCCAUUCCGAAGGGCAUGCCUGUUUGAGUAUCAUGAACACCUCAACUCUCAUGGCUCGCCAUGAUGAGCUUGGACUUUGGGGGUCUUGCUGGCCUGUGGUCGGCUCCUCUCAAAUGGAUCAGCUUGCCAGUGUUUGGUGGCAUCACAGGUGGGAUAACUAUCUGCGCUUGUGGUUUUCCAUCAGAUAACCUUCAGUGAUGGAGGUUCGCUGGAGCUCAUAAACGUCUCCCCUAAGCGGGGACAGCCCUUUGAAUGUUUGAUCUCAAAUCAGGUAGGACUACCCGCUGAACUUAAGCAUAUCAAUAAGCGGAGGA